CAGCAGCCGCCGCGGGAAUACGAAGGGGGCUAGCGUUGCUCGGAAUGACUGGGCGUAAAGGGCGCGUAGGCGGCGAUCAAAGUCAGGCGUGAAAUUCCUGGGCUCAACCUGGGGGCUGCGCUUGAUACUUGGUUGCUUGAGUGGGGAAGAGGGUCGUGGAAUUCCCAGUGUAGAGGUGAAAUUCGUAGAUAUUGGGAAGAACACCGGUGGCGAAGGCGGCGACCUGGUCCUUGACUGACGCUGAGGCGCGAAAGCGUGGGGAGCAAACAGGAUUAGAUACCCCCGUAGUCCCUGUCUCUUAUAA
rnacentral:rRNA from 1 species